CCGGUGUUUAUAAUUUUUUUCUUAAUACUUUGGACAGACAAGAUAUUACAGAGAACCUGCAACUACUAUAUAUUUGUAUGUUCAGAAAAGCUAGCUUUUUUCCGAGCUCGGUGUCUACAAAAGCUAGCUUCUUUGCGAGCUAGGUGUCUAAAAAAGCUAGCUUUUUUGCGAGCUUGUUGUCUAAAAAAGCCUGAUAAACCUGAUGUGGAGCAUCAACCACUUGAUGAGCAGCAAGAUCAACAAAAGAAUUCAAACUGCAGGGGAGCAUUAUGUGGUGUUUUCUGGAGUCGCAUUAUCAAGGCACUUUGUAUUGGUGUGCUGUGGGCUAUUUCUGUGCUCAUCGAUGGAGACUGGUAUGUUUGCUGUCAGAAUGAUCAUUCUGAAAAGCAAUCACAGUUAGCCUGCAAAGAUAAAACCAACAUGACACCUGAAGAAAAUGUGGACAUCAAUACCCUGAAAAACAAAUCAAGACUUUUUGGCUUCUCUGUGCUCUUGGCUAUGAUUUUUCUGGCAGCCCUGAUGUCACUAUUUGACCGGAGAUGCUAUUACAGCAAAAGACAAGUCUAUGACAGCGUGAUCCUGGAAGAAGGGGAAGAUGUACUGAAAGACACUUUGAGAAAAGCAGCGAAAGAUGAGUUACUUAAAAUGAUCUCUGAAAAAAUAAAUGGAAAUGACAAUAGGAAUGGAGGUGGAAAUGAGAACAAAGGAGGAAAUGGAAAUGGAGGAGGAAAUGGAAACAGACAUAGGAAUGGAGGAGGAACGCGGAGAGGAAGGGCAGCACGCACAGGGUGUGCAGAAACACUACAGCGGGGAGCACGAACACGGACG
ensembl:lncRNA